GAAGGUCCGGUGACCAGCCAAGGUUGGUGCCCCGGUUCCUGGGCUAACAAAAAGAAAGCAGGGUGUGGCGACCCGCGCCUUCAAUCACAGCAGAGGCAGGCAGAUCUCUGUGAAUUUGUAUCCUUUGAUUAGUAACAACAACAACAAAAUCUAAGUGAUCUGCUGUUUGUCCAAAUUGUAAAAAAGACUUAGGCGAGUUUUCACUAAUGGCUCUCUAUGUAAAAUAUAGGGACUGUAUUAGUUCUUUGUGGGGUCCAGUUUUCAGCCCUAAACGAAGCUUAACAAGUUAUUUCAUCGCUGUUGCUCAGAGUGGUGUCGGAUUACAGGGAUACCACCACCAAGGCUUUCAAAUUCUGUACUCUUAAUGCAGACCCCAACAGGGGGAAGGAGGUUGAUGUGGGCUUACCUCAUCAUUUACUGGAAAGAUGCCCGCCCUGGACACCUUUCCUCACAGUGCUGCUGUGUUAAGACCAUCCAGCCACCAAGUGAAUUCUGGCUCAUCCUUAAAAGUAGCAUCAGAUGUUAUCUGGCUGCUCCAAGAAAGGGGUCGAAGAGCUGUGAAUGUUCUCCAGACAUUUUCUCAUCCUUCUAAACAACCCAAGUCAAAAUAAAAAAUACUUGGAAGUUAA